GUCAGGGUGGCCGAGCGGUCUAAGGCGUUGCAUUCAAGCUGCAUUCUACUCUGUAGGCGUGGGUUCGAAUCCCACUCCUGACA